AGACCUGAGCUCAGGCAAGGCUACCCGCUGAACUUAAGCAUAUCAAUAAGCGGAGGAAAAGAAACUAACCAGGAUUCCCCUAGUAACGGCGAGCGAACCGGGAAGGAUUAAUUUGAGCCCACUUUGUAAAUCUGGAAUACAUUGUAUUUCCGAAUUGUAGUCUACACAGGUUGGUCUUUUUGGCAGAACUAGGUUGUCCAAGUGCCUUGGAAGAGGCCGCGCGACAGGGUGAGAGCCCCGUUGGACCAUUACGUUAUUCUGUCAGAUGCACAGACCAGAUUGUCCUGUUCGAGUCGGGUUGUUUGGGAAUGCAGCCCUAAUGUGUCGGUGGUAAAUCCCAUCGAAGGCUAAAUACUGGCGGGAGACCGAUAGCGAACAAGUACCGUGAGGGAAAGAUGAAAAGAACUUUGAAAAGAGAGUCAAAAGUGCUUGAAAUUGUUGAGAGGGAAGCGAUUUGAGUGAGGUUUUUGGGUGGUGGAGAGAUUUUGGGGUUGGCAGAUUUCUGCCUCCUCAUCUAUCUUCACCCCCGGUCAGCAUCGGUUUCUGGAGGGGUAGAAACGCCAGGUUUUUGGUUUGGGUUUGAGUUGAUUUUCAAUUCAAUCCCAACGCCUGGCUCAUGCUCUUCUUGAGAGACCGAGGAACUUUCAGUACGGUGCCCCAGAAGAAACAACUUGCGUUGGUUCUUCCGCACCGGUUGAUGGAUGCUGGCUGACGCCGCUCAAUCGGCCCGUCUUGAAACACGGACC
rnacentral:rRNA from 1 species